rnacentral:rRNA from 1 species
UUAAGCGACUAAGCGUACACGGUGGAUGCCCUGGCAGUCAGAGGCGAUGAAGGACGUGCUAAUCUGCGAUAAGCGUCGGUGAGGUGAUAUGAACCGUUAUAACCGGCGAUUUCCGAAUGGGGAAACCCAGUGUGUUUCGACACACUAUCAUUAACUGAAUCCAUAGGUUAAUGAGGCGAACCGGGGGAACUGAAACAUCUAAGUACCCCGAGGAAAAGAAAUCAACCGAGAUUCCCCCAGUAGCGGCGAGCGAACGGGGAGGAGCCCAGAGCCUGAAUCAGUGUGUGUGUUAGUGGAAGCGUCUGGAAAGGCGUGCGAUACAGGGUGACAGCCCCGUACACAAAAAUGCACAUACUGUGAGCUCGAUGAGUAGGGCGGGACACGUGGUAUCCUGUCUGAAUAUGGGGGGACCAUCCUCCAAGGCUAAAUACUCCUGACUGACCGAUAGUGAACCAGUACCGUGAGGGAAAGGCGAAAAGAACCCCGGCGAGGGGAGUGAAAAAGAACCUGAAACCGUGUACGUACAAGCAGUGGGAGCCUCUUAAUGGGGUGACUGCGUACCUUUUGUAUAAUGGGUCAGCGACUUAUAUUCUGUAGCAAGGUUAACCGAAUAGGGGAGCCGAAGGGAAACCGAGUCUUAACUGGGCGUUAAGUUGCAGGGUAUAGACCCGAAACCCGGUGAUCUAGCCAUGGGCAGGUUGAAGGUUGGGUAACACUAACUGGAGGACCGAACCGACUAAUGUUGAAAAAUUAGCGGAUGACUUGUGGCUGGGGGUGAAAGGCCAAUCAAACCGGGAGAUAGCUGGUUCUCCCCGAAAGCUAUUUAGGUAGCGCCUCGUGAAUUCAUCUCCGGGGGUAGAGCACUGUUUCGGCAAGGGGGUCAUCCCGACUUACCAACCCGAUGCAAACUGCGAAUACCGGAGAAUGUUAUCACGGGAGACACACGGCGGGUGCUAACGUCCGUCGUGAAGAGGGAAACAACCCAGACCGCCAGCUAAGGUCCCAAAGUCAUGGUUAAGUGGGAAACGAUGUGGGAAGGCCCAGACAGCCAGGAUGUUGGCUUAGAAGCAGCCAUCAUUUAAAGAAAGCGUAAUAGCUCACUGGUCGAGUCGGCCUGCGCGGAAGAUGUAACGGGGCUAAACCAUGCACCGAAGCUGCGGCAGCGACGCUUAUGCGUUGUUGGGUAGGGGAGCGUUCUGUAAGCCUGUGAAGGUGGCCUGUGAGGGUUGCUGGAGGUAUCAGAAGUGCGAAUGCUGACAUAAGUAACGAUAAAGCGGGUGAAAAGCCCGCUCGCCGGAAGACCAAGGGUUCCUGUCCAACGUUAAUCGGGGCAGGGUGAGUCGACCCCUAAGGCGAGGCCGAAAGGCGUAGUCGAUGGGAAACAGGUUAAUAUUCCUGUACUUGGUGUUACUGCGAAGGGGGGACGGAGAAGGCUAUGUUGGCCGGGCGACGGUUGUCCCGGUUUAAGCGUGUAGGCUGGUUUUCCAGGCAAAUCCGGAAAAUCAAGGCUGAGGCGUGAUGACGAGGCACUACGGUGCUGAAGCGACAAAUGCCCUGCUUCCAGGAAAAGCCUCUAAGCAUCAGGUAACAUCAAAUCGUACCCCAAACCGACACAGGUGGUCAGGUAGAGAAUACCAAGGCGCUUGAGAGAACUCGGGUGAAGGAACUAGGCAAAAUGGUGCCGUAACUUCGGGAGAAGGCACGCUGAUAUGUAGGUGAAGCGACUUGCUCGUGGAGCUAAAAUCAGUCGAAGAUACCAGCUGGCUGCAACUGUUUAUUAAAAACACAGCACUGUGCAAACACGAAAGUGGACGUAUACGGUGUGACGCCUGCCCGGUGCCGGAAGGUUAAUUGAUGGGGUUAGCGGUAACGCGAAGCUCUUGAUCGAAGCCCCGGUAAACGGCGGCCGUAACUAUAACGGUCCUAAGGUAGCGAAAUUCCUUGUCGGGUAAGUUCCGACCUGCACGAAUGGCGUAAUGAUGGCCAGGCUGUCUCCACCCGAGACUCAGUGAAAUUGAACUCGCUGUGAAGAUGCAGUGUACCCGCGGCAAGACGGAAAGACCCCGUGAACCUUUACUAUAGCUUGACACUGAACAUUGAGCCUUGAUGUGUAGGAUAGGUGGGAGGCUUUGAAGUGUGGACGCCAGUCUGCAUGGAGCCGACCUUGAAAUACCACCCUUUAAUGUUUGAUGUUCUAACGUUGGCCCGUAAUCCGGGUUGCGGACAGUGUCUGGUGGGUAGUUUGACUGGGGCGGUCUCCUCCUAAAGAGUAACGGAGGAGCACGAAGGUUGGCUAAUCCUGGUCGGACAUCAGGAGGUUAGUGCAAUGGCAUAAGCCAGCUUGACUGCGAGCGUGACGGCGCGAGCAGGUGCGAAAGCAGGUCAUAGUGAUCCGGUGGUUCUGAAUGGAAGGGCCAUCGCUCAACGGAUAAAAGGUACUCCGGGGAUAACAGGCUGAUACCGCCCAAGAGUUCAUAUCGACGGCGGUGUUUGGCACCUCGAUGUCGGCUCAUCACAUCCUGGGGCUGAAGUAGGUCCCAAGGGUAUGGCUGUUCGCCAUUUAAAGUGGUACGCGAGCUGGGUUUAGAACGUCGUGAGACAGUUCGGUCCCUAUCUGCCGUGGGCGCUGGAGAACUGAGGGGGGCUGCUCCUAGUACGAGAGGACCGGAGUGGACGCAUCACUGGUGUUCGGGUUGUCAUGCCAAUGGCACUGCCCGGUAGCUAAAUGCGGAAGAGAUAAGUGCUGAAAGCAUCUAAGCACGAAACUUGCCCCGAGAUGAGUUCUCCCUGAGACUUAGAGUCUCCUGAAGGAACGUUGAAGACGACGACGUUGAUAGGCCGGGUGUGUAAGCGCAGCGAUGCGUUGAGCUAACCGGUACUAAUGAACCGUGAGGCUUAACCUU